CCGACAUGGGGCUGUCUCUUCACUCUCCCUCCCGUCAUUUAAUUUGUCGGGGCUGGGAUGCUCGUGAUCGGUUGCCUGUGUAGUUCUACCCUGUUGUGGGUAGCGAAGUUGCCCCUCGAUUGAUAUUUGCUUGCCUUUCUGACAUUUUUUUUGUCAUUUGGGUAGCCGAAAUGAUGGCGAAAUCCUUGUGUAGGUGCGUGGUCGAAUGGACUUGCUGCUGUCACUUGGAUUUUUGCCGGCUCUCACGGAUGCAGUGCCUAGUGCUAGCUCUGYGUGACUUUGCCACGCAGACUUCGGGAGGUCCCCUGUACGAAUCAUUGCGAUGUGGACGCCGUUUGUCGUGUUGCUUGUUUGGCAUGCAAAUCGUAUUGUUCUGUCUGGAGUCGGGAUGACGAAGGGCAAGAAUGAAGUGCCCGAAGCGUGGUUGCGUACAUGCGGAAUGCCUCUCUGAUCGUAUGAGC
rnacentral:misc_RNA from 1 species